GUUUUUUUGUCCAUAUGGGGAGGCAAAGGGGAAAUAAGCCAUACAAGUUCAUAAUUAUAAUUAAAGAAGAGCAAUUAAGCAUAAGGUUUUAAGUGCAAAAUUAGACAUCUAUAUUAAAAAGGUUGAAUAAAAUCCCCAGAUAUUAAUUUGAGGAUGAGUUACACACGAAGAUAGCGUGCAAAUGUUUUUCGAAAGUUAUGCAUACCAUAUUUGGUGGGACCAGUAUUGGUACCAUUAUCGGUGGGAUAAUUCUUGGACACAUGGCACGAGUUCAACCGACAAGCGCACGGCCCAUCUGUGAAGUGGUUAUGGGUGACAAUAUUCAUCAGCGGAUCCUGCAAUAUUUCGGUCUCACAGCACGAAGAAACAAUUCAUUGUUACGGCAAAAAAACAAUUGUAAUAUAUUAAUAUUUUAUAUAUUAUUGUUUAAAUUGAAGUAAAACUUUAAGCGCUUGGAUUGAGGCAUAAGCUGGUGAAUGCGUAUCGAGGCGAACGAAAGUUGACAGGGAGAUAUAAGUUACUGAAGAUAGAAAGAGAGAGAGCUACGUUUCGAAUAUUACUGUACAUGUACAUAUAAUGAUAUGGAGUAUUUCAGAAUGAAUAAACAAUAAAAGACUUAA